rnacentral:rRNA from 1 species
CCUACGGGUGGCAGCAGUGGGGAAUAUUGCUCAAUGGGGGAAACCCUGAACCAGCGACGCCGCGUGAGUGAAGACGUAUUUCGGUAUGUAAAGCUCUAUCCUCAGUGAAGAAAAUGACGGUAGCUGACUAAGAAGCCCCGGCUAACUACGUGCCAGCAGCCGCGGUAAUACGUAGGGGGCAAGCGUUAUCCGGAUUUACUGGGUGUAAAGGGUGCGUAGCGGGCCAUGCAGGUCAGAAGUGAAAUCCAUGGGCUUAACCCGUGAACUGCUUUUGAAACUGUAGGGCUGGAGUGAAGUAGAGGCAGGCGGAAUUCCUGGUGUAGCGGUGAAAUGCGUAGAGAUUGGGAGGAACACCAGUGGCGAAGGCGGCUUGCUGGGCUUUAACUGACGCUGAAGCACGAAAGCGUGGGUAGCAAACAGGAUUAGAUACCCGUGUAGUC